GAUGGCCUUAUAGUCUAUUUUUAAGGCUUCUAGCCUUCAAAACUUUAAAAUGAAGAAAAUAAGACACUGUUGUGGUAUAAAAGUUUUAAUUUAUUACUACUAAAUUUUAGUAUUGGUUAAAAUGAUGAAUUUAUUUAACAUUUCUUAUUUUCCCUAAAAAUAGGGAUUCAGACUCUUCUUUUGCUAUGUGGGCUAUGACAAUUAAAAUAAUAAGAUGGCCUAAAUGUUUAGUGUUUUAAGCUUAAAGAGCUAAAACUCUUCCAAUGUUAUAACCCACAGAAGCUUUGUACUUGGCUCUGCCGAUGCUUUGUAUUUUAAUUAUCAAUUUGACAACAAUUAAUCAGGUAGGAAUGUUAUUCCAAUAUAUUUUCUCUGUUGUUGGGCUGAUCCUUCAGAUAACGAGAUUAUGUUAAAAAGAUUGGAGAUCAAAAGAAACUGGUGAUUUAGUAAUUUAGUAGGCUAAGUGCUCUCAUCACUCAUGGGGAUGAUAUGAUCUUUUAUGAUUCUGUAAGUCAUCAUAUCUGCCGCCACGUGCACUAUCACUUUGUGCACCCAUUUCUCUUUCUAAAUGAUUUCUUUUCACUAAGCAAUUUAGUAUUCAUAGGUAAAAUUAACUCUGCUUUUCGUUAUGUAAGCUAGGUCAGUUUCGUAGGUUAAA
rnacentral:lncRNA from 1 species